rnacentral:rRNA from 1 species
AUUGAACGCUGGCGGCAGGCCUAACACAUGCAAGUCGAGCGGAGCGGCGGACGGGUGAGUAAUGCCUAGGAAUCUGCCUGGUAGUGGGGGAUAACGUCCGGAAACGGGCGCUAAUACCGCAUCCUACCAGAUGAGCAUAGGUCGGAUUAGCGAGUGGGUGGGGUAAAGGCCUACCAGGGCGACGAUCGGUAACUGGUCUGAGAGGAUGAUCAGUCCCACUGGAACUGAGACACGGUCCAGACUCCUACGGGAGGCAGCAGUGGGGAAUAUUGGACAAGGGGCGAAAGACUGAUCCAGCCAUGCCGCGUGUGUGAAGAAGGUCUUCGGAGUGGAAAGCACUUUAAGUUGGGAGGCGUUACCAACAGAAUAAGCACCGGCUAACUACGUGCCAGCAGCCGCGGUAAUUC